UUUUAGCCCUGAUAGUAAUGGAAAGCCCACAGCAGAAAAAUGUAGUUUUUCUUGCUGGAAAAAAGCGACCAAAGGAAGCUCUUUUUCCAGCUUAGAAAACCACAUUUUUUAGCGAGGACUUGCAAUGUAUAGCAGGAAAUAGC
rfam:Flavobacterium sp. AED Contig01, whole genome shotgun sequence.